GCCUGGCUGGCUUAGUUGGUGGAGCGUGCGACUCCUGAUCUUGGGGUUGUGAGUUUGAGCCCCACGUUGGGUG
rnacentral:tRNA from 1 species